AAGGAACGCUAGCUAUAUGCUUAACACAUGCAAGUCGAACGUUGUUUUCAGGGAGCUAGGCAGAAAGAAAAAAGGCUCCUAGCUAAAGGUAUCUUGUCUCGCCCAGGAGGUGAGAACAGUUGAGAACAAAGUGGCGAACGAGUGCGUAACGCGUGGGAAUUUGCCGAACAGUUCGGGCCAAAUCCUGAAGAAAGCUAAAAAGCGUUGUUUGAUGAGCCUGCGUAGUAUUAGGUAGUUGGUCAGGUAAGGCUGACCAAGCCAAUGAUGCUUAGCUAGUCUUUUUGGAUGAUCAGCCACACUGGGACUGAGACACGACCAAGACUCCCACGGGGGGUAGCAGUGGGGAAUCUUGGACAAUGGGCGAAAGCCCGAUCCAGCAAUAUCGUGUGAGUGAAGAAGGGUAAUGCCGCUUGUAAAGCUCUUUCGUUGAGUGCGCGAUCAUGACAGGACUCGAGGAAGAAGACCCGGCUAACUCCGUUCCAGCCGCCGCCGUAAAAC
rnacentral:rRNA from 1 species